AUUUUCGGCUACAAGCUUAGCUCUCUUUCUGAGCUUCAUAAUCAUGUUGUUCAUACUAUUUUGGUGAUUAUCUGGGGCUGCCCUCCUAGGCUAUUCCUCCAGCUUUGGUGACGGAGCUUCCCUUGCUCCAAUGAACUUGCAGGGUUCUCAAGGCUCCUUGGCUGCCACAAUUUUUUUGGAGUCUCAUAGGCCGAAUGUCGAGGAGAAAAGGAGGAAAUGAAGAAGAAGACAACUCUCCUUUGACUAUGGAGCUGUCGAGAAUCUGGGGGAUUGGAGGAGAGAUUUUGCUCCAAGAAAAGUGAUCCUCCAUUUCUUUUUCUAGUUAGUAUUAUAGUCUUGGAGUUUGUAUUCUUAGAGUUGUAGCCAUAAUAAUUUAUGUAGUAGGAUGAAAGGUACAGUGUAGACAUGUGGUGUCUCUUUUACUUAUGUAAUUAUGUACUAGUAGCAUCCCCAUCAUCCAUGAGAUUGUAUUUCCAAUUUGUACUUAUGUAAUUAUGUACUAGUAGCAUCCCCAUCAUCCAUGAGAUUGUAUUUCCAAUUUGUACUCUUAAUAAACGCAUCUCUCAUACUUUUAUCCUUAAA